CUCUUCCCAGUACCUUUCCAGGGUGGUGAUUGCAGCUGGUUCAUGCCUAAGGUGAUAACAACAAUAAUAAUGCUUUUUGUGGAACUCUGGAAAAUGAAGAGGAUUAAGUCGUUUCUAUAAAGCCAAAGCAGCCUGCCAUCUCCUUCUCUUCUGGGCUCUAGUCCAAUUUGCACAGCAGUUGCAAAGGAAAGCAAACGCAUCACUAGAUUCAGCGAGAAAUAUUGUAACAGUAUGUAAUCUCUGUCAAGAUAAAAUUGCUUUGUGAUUUACAUUACAAUAAAUCCUGACCUUUAAGUGCUGCCGACUAA